CGAAGGUGGACUCUUAACCAACUGAGGUACCCACGCGCCCCAUGGAGGAACAAGUCAGUCAGGAAGCCCCGCUGCAGCCAUGGCUUUUAAAGACAUCCAGAAGACAUCAUGGAACCAGAGGUGGGGAUUCACCAGUGAAAAUUACUCUAACCAGCCACAACAUAAAAUCUUUAGAGAAGGUAUGUACUGACUUGAUCAGAGGUGCAAAAGGAAAGAAUCUAAAGGGAAAGGACAAGUUCAAAUGUCCACCAAGACUCUGAGAAUCACCACAAGAAAAACUCAUGAAGCCAGGCCUAUGGCAACCCUCACAGUGUGCCUAGCCGAGACACCACCAGAUAUCAUCCAGCCCACCGUCGACACUGCCGGCCACCAACCAGACCACUGUGGCAGGGACGCACAUACCGGAUCUUCUUUCAGGGUUUGACUUCUCCAGCCUUUCCCCAACCUCCUGGCUCGCUAGCACGGAGGCAUGCUAUCAUGCCCAGGGUUUCUAAAACAGUCUCUGCCCUAAAGAAUCUACAGCUGAGGGCUGUAGAAAUCCACACAGGGGUAAGCCCAGUAUGAUCUGGAGUUGUCAGACAGAGUUCCAGGGAGGGGCCUCCGCUGGAUUUUGUGGGUGGAGUGGUCCUCAGGAGAGAAAGGAGGACACGUGCGCAUGCGCGGAGGAGAAGCAAGCCGCGUACAAUCCUGCGCAGUGAGCAAUCUGGAGACUACCCGAGACAGGGGCGAAGGCGCGGGCAGGAUGGGGAGAAGGACAAAUAGGAAACAGGGGUUUAGAUGUGGUGUAGCACAGUUGCUACCAGUCUUGGGUCCAAUACAACACGUGGCAUCCACGUGUGUGACGCCCUGUGGGCAGUACAGGGUGAUCACCACCUCCAGCUGGGACAUCUCUUCUGUAUCUCGCACUCCAGAGAGCACCUGCCAGGUACAGGCAAAUUCAUCCCGCUGUGGCUGAGCUGUGGUCAGGCAAAAAAGCUCUCUGACACAAGAAUGUUACACAAGAUAAGGCUGUGAUAAAGACAAAGGAUACAUUUCCGCAGCAGAUAACAGGAGAAAUUCAGUGAGUGUGACCUCUCAGGUCCUCUUUGUCUACACCCAAGAGACAGGCUUAGCAGCAGGCAGAGUGAAUGCCUUUCCAGGGGAGGGCUUGGGAAGCAGCCCACCCCACCUAACUUUGCCUGGGUCACUCUUACCCAUUCCUUGGUUCUCAGCUCAAGUGUCAUUUCUUUGGGGAAGCUUCCCUGACCCCUCCUAUAUCAGAUUCUCUGUAUUUCCCUUUGUCAAGUGCAUCACAGCUUAUAUAUUAACGCAUUUGGGUGACAGUUUGUCUUUACUACUGUAGAUUCAAUCAGCAAAUACUAAUUUUUGCCA